UACAGAGGGUGCGAGCGUUAAUCGGAAUUACUGGGCGUAAAGCGCGCGUAGGCGGCUUUGUAAGUCGGAUGUGAAAUCCCCGGGCUUAACCUGGGAACUGCAUUCGAGACUGCAUAGCUAGAGUAUGGGAGAGGGAAGUGGAAUUUCAGGUGUAGCGGUGAAAUGCGUAGAUAUCUGGAGGAACACCGGUGGCGAAGGCGGCAUCCUGGACCGGCAUUGACGCUGAGGCGCGAAAGCCAGGGGAGCAAACGGG
rnacentral:rRNA from 1 species